CUACGGCUGUCGUGAGGCGGCCGGAUGGGACCACAGAAUUCAGCAGACGCCAUAGUAGGUGGCUUACCGGUCACUGAAGGGC
rfam:Klebsiella pneumoniae IS43, WGS project CBWK01000000 data, contig: c462